CUGGCGGCGUGGAUUAGGCAUGCAAGUCGAACGGUAGAUAUCCUUCGGGAUAUUGAGAGUGGCGAACGGGGUGAGUAACGAACGUAGAAAAUCUACCUCGAGGAAGGGGACAACAGGUUGGAAACGACGUGCUAAUACCCUAUAUGAGCUGGGCUGAAACGCCUAUCUUGAAAGUUCCGGCGCCUUGAGAUGAGUCUGCGUCUGAUUAGCUAGUUGGUGGGGUAAAUGCCUACCAAGGCGACGAUCAGUAGCUGGUUUGAGAGGAUGACCAGCCACAAUGGGACUGAGACACGGCCCAUACUCCUACGGGAGGCAGCAGUAGGGAAUUUUGCGCAAUGGGGGGAAAAACCCCUGACGCAGCAACACCGCGUGAACGACGAAGCCCUUCGGGGUGUAAAGUUCUGUCCAGUAGGGACGAAUUUUGACGGUACCUACAAAGGAAGCAUCGGCUAACUACGUGCCAGCCGCCGC
rnacentral:rRNA from 1 species